rnacentral:hammerhead_ribozyme from 1 species
AUUCAUCUGACGAGUCCAAAAUAGGACGAAACGCGCGUCCAGGAAU